UACGAAGGGGGCUAGCGUUGCUCGGGAUCACUGGGCGUAAAGGGUGCGUAGGCGGGUCUUUUAAGUCAGGGGUGAAAUCCUGGAGCUCAACUCCAGAACUGCCUUUGAUACUGAGGAUCUUGAGUUCGGGAGAGGUGAGUGGAACUGCGAGUGUAGAGGUGAAAUUCGUAGAUAUCGGGAGGAACACCAGUGGCGAAGGCGACUACCUGGCCUGUUCUUGACGCUGAGGCGCGAAAGCUAGGGGAGCAAACGGG
rnacentral:rRNA from 1 species